rnacentral:lncRNA from 1 species
NUCGAACUCUUCUUUGGUGUCAAGGUAAUAGCUAUGAAUAGUCAUUGACUUCCAGAAAAGGGUCGAAGAAUGGGACAUAUUAUGGGACAUACAAUGCAUUACAAAUGUAUGAUCAUUACGCUUCAACCGGGUUAUUCUAUUCCACCUCUUAGAAAGAAAAGAACUUAAAUCAAAAUACUUAAUAGCAUGGUGAUGCAUUUAUAUAAAACUUCUACCCUGAGCACACGCAAUGGAACCAUAGAUGGUCAAGUGAAAUCCAAUCCACGAAAUAAUUUGAUCUAUGGAUAGCAUCAUUGUGGUAAAGGUCGUAAUGCUAGAGGAAUCGUUACUGCAAGGCAUAGAGGGAGAGGUUAUAAGCGUCUAUACCGUAAAAUUAAUUUUUGACGAAAUGAGAAAGACAUAUAUGGUAGAAUCAUAACCAUAUAAUACGACCCCAAUCGAAAUGCAUACAUUUGUCUCAUUUGGUAUGGGGAUGGUGAGAAGAGAUAUUUUACAUCCCAGAGGGGCUAUAAUUGGAGAUACCGU